GUCACUUUAUUUUUCAAAAUGAAGAACUGUAACUUUCUUCCUAUACUCUCCAUGCUAGUACUUUUGCUAAGUCUAGUUUCCCUUUCUAUAGGUAAACGUUCAAUCUUUUUAUCUUCCAUUUCUAUGUCUUUCUUUUUAGAAUCUUUUUAUUUCAAUUAUUUUUUGUUUGCCAUAUCCUGUUUGUUUGUUGGCUUUUCUUUUUCAAACCUUGUUAUUUUUAUUGGUUUUUCCCCUUCAUUUUUGGUGUUUGUGUCACCACUUGUACUAAUAGUCUAAAACAAAAGAUUCUAUAAUAAGUUGAUUUACACAAAUGUCCCCUUUUAGGUUACUGUCUGAAUUUUAUUUCUAUUAUAAAAAGUUUUGUAAAUAUAACCCGUGAGAAAUUACUCCUUUCCGGACAACAUUAGACUUAGGUCUAAUAUUUUCUUGUAUAAUUAUAAUUUUGCUCACAAAACAUUAGAUUGUUGUAUAAUGUUUGCAAUAACUUACAAGAUUUUAGAUCAGUUUGCUCAAAAAGUAUCUUUCGACCAUGGUCUAAAAAAUCCAUCAGUUACAAGAGAAAUAAUAAAAAAAAAGACCAUUUACUGAACAACUGAUACAAAUAGCGACAAAUUACACUCUACAAUAUCAAAUAUUACAUGAGAAGUUUUGAUUAAAAAAUAUUAUUGUAUGCUUUAAAUACUAGUCAAUAAUGUUUUUCUUUAUUUCUUUGAUCGUAGGACAACAAAAAUUAUGUCCAGUUAGCUUUGGAAAAAUUCAUGAUUGUGGCAAUACUGGUAGUCAAGACUGUGUCACUGCUUCAGCCAGGCUAUUCCCACCAAGUGCUAUGGUUCAGAAUUGUGAAUGUGGUCCACGUGAAAUACCAGAUCACAGUGUUUGUCGUUGUCAAAUUAUUUGCAGAUCUCCUCCACCACCACAAUCGAAUUAAUAACUUGUCACUGCAAUAUAUGCAGUCCAUUUCAAUUUUAUUUUUUAAUACUUGGAUCUGAAAUGGAGUUUAUUAGUUCAGAGAGUAGUGAUUCGUAGUCUAGAUAUCUGUAAUCCAACUAUAAAAUAACUAUCAUUUUGAAAGAGUUUUCUACAAUUCAAUAUUAUAUAGUUUAUCCAAUAUGACACAAAUGAUAUAUUAGUCUAAACCUAUUUUU
rnacentral:lncRNA from 1 species